GACGAACGCUGGCGGCGUGCUUAACACAUGCAAGUCGAACGGAAAGGCCUCUUUCGGGGGGUACUCGAGUGGCGAACGGGUGAGUAACACGUGAGUAACCUGCCCUUGACUUUGGGAUAACUUCAGGAAACUGGGGCUAAUACCGGAUAGGAGCUCCUGCUGCAUGGUGGGGGUUGGAAAGUUUCGGCGGUUGGGGAUGGACUCGCGGCUUAUCAGCUUGUUGGUGGGGUAGUGGCUUACCAAGGCUUUGACGGGUAGCCGGCCUGAGAGGGUGACCGGCCACAUUGGGACUGAGAUACGGCCCAGACUCCUACGGGAGGCAGCAGUGGGGAAUAUUGCACAAUGGGUGGAAGCCUGAUGCAGCAACGCCGUGUGCGGGAUGACGGCCUUCGGGUUGUAAACCGCUUUCGCUCAUGACGAAGCUUUGUGUGACGGUAGUGGGUAAAGAAGCACCGGCGAGCUACGU
rnacentral:rRNA from 1 species